rnacentral:rRNA from 1 species
GAUGAACGCUAGCGGCAGGCUUAACACAUGCAAGUCGAGGGGCAGCGCGAGGUAGCAAUACUUUGGCGGCGACCGGCGCACGGGUGCGUAACGCGUAUGCAACUUACCCACUACAGGGGGAUAACGGAGGGAAACUUCCACUAAUAUCCCAUGGUGUCACCGAAUCGCAUGGUUUGGUGACUAAAGCUUCGGUGGUAGUGGAUGGGCAUGCGUGACAUUAGGUAGUUGGCGGGGGCAACGGCCCACCAAGCCGACGAUGUCUAGGGGAGCUGAGAGGCUUAUCCCCCACACUGGUACUGAGACACGGACCAGACUCCUACGGGAGGCAGCAGUGAGGAAUAUUGGUCAAUGGGCGAGAGCCUGAACCAGCCAUGCCGCGUGCAGGAUGACGGCUCUAUGAGUUGUAAACUGCUUUUGUAUGAGGGUAAUAUCAGGUACGUGUACCUGCUUGAAAGUAUCAUACGAAUAAGGAUCGGCUAACUCCGU